GUAUUGUACGACGGCCAUUUCUCUUCUCAGUCGCUGGGUUUUGGAGAACUUAUUCGGAAUUUCAUAUUUGUUUCUUGGGGAUUUUCGUUUCCAAGGUGUCUAUAACAGAUAAUUUUUUCACGUAAGCCAACAUGCUGAAACGUGGCUUGUGUUCAGUGCAGGUUGCACAGGAGCUUUUACAUUUUCACAAGCCAACAUUUAUCGGCUUGGACCUUCGGUGCGGGUUGUGCCAGAUUGAAAGGAGUCAUUGUACUCUCGCAAGCCAACAUUUGUCGGCUUGAAUAUAUUUUUGUGGGUUGCGCUUCAAAGAGUCUCAGGGUGUCUCAAAGUGUCUCACGAGUGUCUCAAAAUGUCUCACGAGUGUCUCAAAGUGUCACAAACUGAAAGAAACUAUUGUUUGCCUUGAACUGUCAAGAGUGUUAUCUAUUUUAAUAAACUGAGUUUCUAGUUA